UCACCUUGAACUCUUAGGCUGCUAGAGAAUCGGAGUUUUACCGGACUUAUUUCUUCUCCAAGAUUCAAGAUUUCGGUAGAGAAUCUUAGUGCGUGGGAUUUGGUGAACCCAACUCUGUAGCUCGGAGCCAGGAGAAGAUCAAGUUUAGAUUUGGGGGUGUCAGGGAGUCGUAUUGUCUGCGCUAUCAGUAUC